AAACCGCCUAGAGGUAAACGGGUGGAUCCGCAAAGUCGGCCCGCGGAAUUCAGCUCGGAAGGUUCGCCGCGCCUGCUGGCCGGGUCUGAGAUCUUUUACCAGACUCGCUCGGCUGCAGGACGCGGUCCGACCGUGUGCACUUUCCGCGGGCAGAGCGCCACGACCGGUUCUCGGGGCGGUCAGAAGGCGGCGGGGAUGGUAGGUGUGCGCUUCGGCCUGCACUGGUAUAGCCCCGCCUGUCCCGAUCCGCUCGGGGACCGAGGAGCCGCCGUCGGCGAUUAGGGCCGCCUCGCCCUCCUGGGAUGUCCCGACUGGCAGAGACUGGGCAACCGUGUCUGCCGACCGCUUCCCUGGAUGGACUUGGGGUGGGCCCCGCCGGCACAGGGUCGGUGGCGAAUCGGUCGGCCCUCCACCCGACCCGUCUUGAA
rnacentral:rRNA from 1 species